GCAGACGCCUGAGAGCGAGGCCGAGGCCCCUCAGGGUUUGGAGACCCUGACACACCCACCUUCUCACCUGGGCUCUGCGUAGCCCCAGCCUUGAGGGAAGAUGAAGCCUAAACUGAUGUACCAGGAGCUGAAGGUGCCUGCAGAGGAGCCCGCCAAUGAGCUGCCCAUGAAUGAGAUUGAGGCGUGGAAGGCUGCGGAAAAGAAAGCCCGCUGGGUCCUGCUGGUCCUCAUUCUGGCGGUUGUGGGCUUCGGAGCCCUGAUGACUCAGCUGUUUCUAUGGGAAUACGGCGACUUGCAUCUCUUUGGGCCCAACCAGCGCCCAGCCCCCUGCUAUGACCCUUGCGAGUAAGUGGGGGGUGCUGCAGGUGGUGGGGGAGGGGCCUGCCAGACCAGGUACACUUAAGCACACACUAAGCAGGGCCUGCACUCAGCCCUACCCAGCACUUGCGACAAGUGAGGAGGUUGCAGGCUCCCAAGUGCUUGCCCGCCCCCUCCUCCUCCACACACAUAGUUUCUAUGGCAGCCACAGCGUCAUCUUCUAUCCGGCCCAUGAACAGACACAGCAUCUUCCACCCACAUCUGUGGACACACACAUGCAUCUAAAUACAUGACCUUCCUUCCACACCUCUAGACAGACACGCAGAGGAUCAUGAGUCCAGGCACGCAUUCAAAUACACACAGUUUUAAAAAAUG
rnacentral:sRNA from 1 species